AGGGGGUUGGAUCCUGGCUCAGAAUCAACGCUGGCGGCGUGCCUAACACAUGCAAGUCGAACGAGAAAGGGCACCUUCGGGAGCCUGAGUAAAGUGGCGAACGGGUGAGUAGCACGUGGGUGACCUGCCCUAUGGAGGGGGAUAACCCGGGGAAACCCGGGCUAAAACCGCAUAAGCCUUUAAAGUCGAAUUUAAAGGGAAAGGGGUAAGGCCUUCGGGUCUUAUCUUGCCGAAGGAGGGGCCCGCGUCCCAUUAGCUAGUUGGUGGGGUAAGGGCCUACCAAGGCAACGAUGGGUAGCCGGUCUGAGAGGACGGACGGCCACACUGGAACUGAGACACGGUCCAGACUCCUACGGGAGGCAGCAGUGGGGAAUUUUGGGCAAUGGGCGAAAGCCUGACCCAGCAACGCCGCGUGGAGGACGAAGGCCUUCGGGUCGUAAACUCCUGUCCGAGGGGAAGAAGAAAGUGACGGUACCCUUGGAGGAAGCCCCGGCUAACUCCGUGCCAGCAGCCGCGGUAAGACGGGGGGGGGCAAGCGUUGUUCGGAAUUACUGGGCGUAAAGGGCGCGUANGCGGCCUGGGAAGUCUUUGG
rnacentral:rRNA from 1 species